rnacentral:rRNA from 1 species
AUGAGUGGGAGAGGGUUAAAAGAUCAAUUGGUUCCACCAGUGGGAAUGAGUAGUAUACUAUCUCUUAGCUAUAAUGAUCUUCCACCUAAUCUGAAGACAUGGUUGUUGUAUUUAAGUGUAUUCCUUGAGGAUUAUGUUAUUGAGAGAGAGAGGUUAGUGAGGCGAUGGAUAUCAGAAGGCUUUAUCUCAGAACAACGAGGGCAGAGCCAGCAAGAAGUUGCGGAGAACUACUUUUAUGAGCUUGUCAACAAAAGCAUGGUUCAACCAGUGGAUAUUGGAUAUGAUGGCAAGUUUGUCACUGUGGUACGUGGAGGUCAAAAAAAAAUUGAAAAAUCGUCAUGGUUUUAUUUGGUGACUAUCAGUUCAACACAUUGA